rnacentral:rRNA from 1 species
GAUCCUGGCUCAGAUUGAACGCUGGCGGCAGGCCUAACACAUGCAAGUCGAAUGGUAACAGGAAACAGCUUGCUGUUUCGCUGACGAGUGGCGGACGGGUGAGUAAUGUCUGGGAAACUGCCUGAUGGAGGGGGAUAACUACUGGAAACGGUAGCUAAUACCGCAUAACGUCGCAAGACCAAAGAGGGGGACCUUCGGGGCCUCUUGCCAUCAGAUGUGCCCAGAUGGGAUUAGCUAGUAGGUGGGGUAACGGCUCACCUAGGCGACGAUCCCUAGCUGGUCUGAGAGGAUAACCAGCCACACUGGAACUGAGACACGGUCCAGACUCCUACGGGAGGCAGCAGUGGGGAAUAUUGCACAAUGGGCGCAAGCCUGAUGCAGCCAUGCCGCGUGUAUGAAGAAGGCCUUCGGGUUGUAAAGUACUUUCAGCGGGGAGGAAGGGAGUAAAGUUAAUACCUUUGCUCAUUGACGUUACCCGCAGAAGAAGCACCGGCUAACUCCGUG